rnacentral:rRNA from 1 species
AGAGUUUGAUCCUGGCUCAGGAUGAACGCUGGCGGCAUGCCUAAUACAUGCAAGUCGAACGAGGAUCCUUCGGGAUCCUAGUGGCGAACGGGUGAGUAACACGUAGGGAACCUGCCCGCGCACCGGGAAUACGCUCUGGAAACGGAGAACAAAUCCCGAUGUACAGGAAGGAGGCAUCUUCUUUCUGUGAAACAUCCUGUAAGGGAUGGGGCGCGGAUGGACCUGCGGUGCAUUAGUUGGUUGGCGAGGGUAAAGGCCCACCAAGACGAUGAUGCAUAGCCGGCCUGAGAGGGCGGACGGCCACAUUGGGACUGAGACACGGCCCAGACUCCUGCGGGAGGCAGCAGUAGGGAAUUUUCGUCAAUGGGCGCAAGCCUGAACGAGCGAUGCCGCGUGAGUGAAGAAGGCCUUCGGGUCGUAAAGCUCUGUUGCGGGGGAAAAAAGGCAACUACAGGAAAUGGUAGAUGACAGAUGGUGCCCCGCCAGAAAGUCACGGCUAACUACGUGCCAGCAGCCGCGGUAAUACGUAGGUGGCGAGCGUUAUCCGGAUUUACUGGGUGUAAAGGGAGCGUAGACGGCAGUGCAAGUCUGGAGUGAAAGGCGGGGGCUCAACCCCCGGACUGCUCUGGAAACUGUACAGCUGGAGUGCAGGAGAGGUAAGUGGAAUUCCUAGUGUAGCGGUGAAAUGCGU